AGCUCUGCUUCAGCUGUGGGCACAGAAGGCAGGACUCAGGAGAAUCUUCAUAAUGACUUGGUCCCCGCUCCUCCUCACGCUUCUCAUUCACUGCACAGGGUCCUGGGCCCAGACUGUGCUGACUCAGCCGACUUCAGUGUCUGGGAACCCUGGGCAGAGGGUCACCAUCUCCUGUUCUGGAAGCAGCUCCAACAUCGGGAGUAAUUCUGUAAACUGGUACCAGCAGCUCCCAGGAACAGCCCCCAAACUCCUCAUCUAUGGUACCAGCAAUCGGCCCUCAGGGGUCCCUGACCGAUUCUCUGGCUCCAAGUCCGGCACCUCAGCCUCCCUGACCAUCACUGGUCUCCAGCCUGAGGACGAGGCCGAUUAUUACUGCUUAGCAUGGGAUGGCAGCCUGAGUGCUCGCACAGUGCUCCAGGCCAAUGAGGAACUGAGACAAGAACCCUCUUCCUCCUCUGCCAGGAAGGUAAGUCCCUGGCAGCUGCUGCUCAGGCCUGCUCUGUGGCUUCUGCUGCUGAAACUUCCCCACUGGUCCCAGCGGCAUCCAGGGCCCUGCCUGAGAGCAGAGGCUCCAUUUCUUUGUACUCAGUCAGGAACAGGAACUCUAAGAAACAGAGCUUCCUAUCCUGCAUCUUGGGACACAGGGUGUCUGUACUGCAAUCCUGGGCUGAGGCGGCAGGGCCAGCUGUCAUCACAGACCUUCCUCUGA